rnacentral:ncRNA from 1 species
CUUAAGCAUAUCAAUAAGCGGAGGAAAAGAAACCAACAGGGAUUGCCUCAGUAACGGCGAGUGAAGCGGCAACAGCUCAAAUUUGAAAUCUGGCCUCUUCGGGGUCCGAGUUGUAAUUUGUAGAGGAUGCUUCGGAGUCGGCUCCGGUCUAAGUGCCUUGGAACAGGACGUCACAGAGGGUGAGAAUCCCGUACGUGGCCGGCCGCCUUCUCCAUGUGAAGCUCCUUCGACGAGUCGAGUUGUUUGGGAAUGCAGCUCUAAAUGGGAGGUAAAUUUCUUCUAAAGCUAAAUAUUGGCCAGAGACCGAUAGCGCACAAGUAGAGUGAUCGAAAGAUGAAAAGCACUUUGGAAAGAGAGUUAAAAAGUACGUGAAAUUGUUGAAAGGGAAGCGCUUGCAACCAGACUUGCCCGCGGUUGCUCAACCGGCCUUUUGGCUCGGUGCACUCUUCCGCGGUCAGGCCAGCAUCGGUUCGGGCGGUCGGAUAAAGGCCUUGGGAAUGUAGCACCCUUCGGGGUGUGUUAUAGCCCUCGGCGCAAUGCGGCCAGCCUGGACCGAGGUCCGCGCUUCGGCUAGGAUGCUGGCGUAAUGGUUGUAAGCGGCCCGUCUUGAAACACGGACCAAGGAGUCUAACAUCUAUGCGAGUGUUUGGGUGUCAAACCCAUGCGCGUAAUGAAAGUGAACGGAGGUGGGAACCCUCGGGUGCACCAUCGACCGAUCCUGAUGUCUUCGGAAGGAUUUGAGUAUGAGCAUAGCUGUUGGGACCCGAAAGAUGGUGAACUAUGCCUGAAUAGGGUGAAGCCAGAGGAAACUCUGGUGGAGGCUCGCAGCGGUUCUGACGUGCAAAUCGAUCGUCAAAUUUGGGUAUAGGGGCGAAAGACUAAUCGAACCAUUGGAAGAAAGGAAUGCUACUAGGUGGUUUAGAGGCGACCCGAGCCCUCCGUCGCGGGGGUUUCGAGGGUCGCCUAGUCCCCACAUCCGGGGCUACACUACUAAAUUGCGGGGACGCUCUGAGGGCUCGAGACUACCGCGGCCGCCCCGAAAGGGCGCGGCGCAGCACCGGGGUCACCACCCCGCGGUACGGUGAGAACGUCCGAGACUGAGCAACCGCGCAGCCAAGUCCUAACCCGGGGGGCGGGAUAACCGAACCCCCCCGGCACGGAUGCAGUUCACAGACUAGACGGUAGUGGGUGCGACCCCCCAGGGGAUGCGCUUAAGAUAUAGUCGGACCCCCUCGAGAGGAGGGUCCGCGGGAGGAAGCCCUCGCGCCGGAUGCCCCCUUCGACUCUGCUCGGAGGGGGGGCGCCGGGGGCCCGAGACCCGCGGGGGGCGGCCGUUCUCCUUCGGCCGCCCGGAUGAUUCGCUAGUAGCUGGUUCCUGCCGAAGUUUCCCUCAGGAUAGCAGUAACGUUUUCAGUUUUAUGAGGUAAAGCGAAUGAUUAGAGGCCUUGGGGUUGAAACAACCUUAACCUAUUCUCAAACUUUAAAUAUGUAAGAAGCCCUUGUUACUUAGUUGAACGUGGGCACUUGAAUGUAGCGUUACUAGUGGGCCAUUUUUGGUAAGCAGAACUGGCGAUGCGGGAUGAACCGAACGCGAGGUUAAGGUGCCGGAAUGCACGCUCAUCAGACACCACAAAAGGUGUUAGUUCAUCUGGACAGCAGGACGGUGGCCAUGGAAGUCGGAAACCGCUAAGGAGUGUGUAACAACUCACCUGCCGAAUGAACUAGCCCUGAAAAUGGAUGGCGCUCAAGCGUGCUACCCAUACCUCGCCGCCAGGGUAGAUUCGAUGCCCUGGCGAGUAGGCAGGCGUGGAGGUCAGUGACGAAGCCUUGGGGGUGACCCCGGGUCGAACGGCCUCUAGUGCAGAUCUUGGUG